GCAGAGUUUUAAUCCGACUUGCUUCCCCUGGCUCCCACCAUAAGAGCCUCCUGCUGGCAGGAAGAAGCUUCUUGAGGAGCAGUCUUCAUGCCUUGCCCAGUACCCUGGUCUGCAUCAAACCAUCAGCUUUUCCAUUUUCAUGCUUUUCUGACUCAGAGUCGUUUUCCCCACUCAGUGGUCUCCUUUCUGCCGUUAGCCACCUGCAUUCUUUCCGGUAAGUUGUCUUUGCUUCAUAGAGACAGCAUUGAGUUUCUUAGGAAGGAUUGUCUGCUGUCCAGCAUUAUGCUUCCUUCUUGUGGCAAAGCCCCCAAGUUUCUUCAGGUGCCCGCUCUUCCCUAACUCUCUAAGCCGAUACAGGUCCAGAGCUCCUGAGGGUGGCUUGUAAGUCCUGCUUCAUGGAAAAGAGCUUCAGGGCCGGGGUGGAAAGGGGCCCUGGAACCCUCAGCCAUUCGCUGUGGCUUUUGCUUGCUGGAUUUCAACUGUGGUCGUCUUGUGAGCAUCCCCAGGGGAGCUGAGUGAGACCGCCCUCCUGUCGGGGCAGAGCUGAGAGAUGGCGAAAUGAGUCCUGAAUCACGAUGUCUGAUCCUGAACCCAGUAGUGGCUGAAGUUCUACUCCUGGCCUUUUAGCUACCACAGCUUUUUUUCUUUACCUUAAACCAGUUGGAAUUGGGGCUGUCAUCAUCUGUCACUCUCAACAGAAAUAACCCUAAGUGAUCCAAGCCUAGUAUCUGCAGUCCAAGGUCAAAAGAAUUUCACUUUUUUUUUUUUCCGCCAUGCCCAGGACAUGCAGAAGUUCCUAGGCAGGGAUGGAACUCAUUUAAUAGCAGUAACCAGAGCCACGGCCUUGAUAAGGCCAGGUUCUUAACCCACUGAGCCACCAGGAAACUCCUUCACUUCUUUGUUUUAUCCUGGCUGUUGCCACCAAUAUAUUGAGGCUGCAAAACCUUUCUUCACCCGUGGAUGCUGGCACUCAACAAGAUUAUUAUUAUUAUUAUUUUUGUCUUUUGUCUUUUUUUGAGGGUUAUACCCUCGGCAUAUGGAGGUUCCCAGGCUAGGGGCCUAAUCGGAUCUGUAGCUGCUGGCCUACACCACAGCCACAGCAACACCAGAUCCAAGCUGCAUCUGUGACCUACACCACAGUUCAUGGCAACGCCAGAUCCUUAACCGACUGAGCAAGGCCAGGGACGGAACCUGAAACCUCAUGCUUCCUAAUCAGAUUCAUUUCCACUGAGCCAUAGUGGGAACUCCCAACGAGAUUAUUCUUGAACUCAAGGCCUCAGUUGGUGCAACAAAUAAGUUCUGACUCCUCUGUACUUUGAGUGCUAAACGCAGUAUCAAGUUGCUUAAAAUCAAGGUAACAAUAAGUCAUUUUUCUAAUUUACAGAGAAGCUGCCCUAACACACACACACACACACAAAUGCAUAUACAGAUGUGUUUGUGUAUUACACCUUUAGAAUGGCUAGGUCAACAAUAUUUAAUUAAAUUUUUUAGAUUAAAAAGAAAACCAAGCUCCCCAUUGAACAAUAUCUGGAAAUAACUACACCAACAUAGAGAAUUGGAUAUGAUCAAAGUCCAGGAUGACUUGGCUGCAGGCACACGGGCAAAGGGGGGCUGUUUGUCCCCCAUGACCCCAGGUUUCAAGGAGGCCAGUCCACCCACAUACUUUGGGGCAGGGCGCCAGAUAAACGAGGCUCUGGCAGUGGAGCCCCGUUCCCCUUCCUGGACUCUUGGUUCACGCCUACUCUUCCUUUCACUCCCCCUCUGUUCCAGUUUGGCCUGAUUUCCAAGCAUAGUGACGUGCUUUCCCUUCUGGCCCAUGGACUCAAGGGUGGAAUCGAUAUCCAGCUUUAACCGUUAAAACUCCCGGCUCCCUAGCCGGGUCUGACCAGCUCCUGCUCACUCUUAACCUCCUCCCUAGGCUGGGGGUGCUCCUUCAGCCUUCUUUGAAGGAGGAUGGUGGGGUGCGGAAGCAGGUGGAGAUGGAAGAGGAGCAGCUCAAAAAAGGACAAAGGUAGCGUGUUCCCAUACCUGUCCAUACCUUAUCUCAAAAUACUUCCCAUUGGCAGAAAAGAUGAAGCUGCAUCUGCUUCCUGGUGCCCCAGAUUGUAAGAUGAGCCACUUGACUUAUAGAGUCUGGAUAUUAUAGCCACAAACAUAUGUAAACAUUUUUAUGUUUUGCACAAAAGGAAAAAAAUCACCAAUGAUGUGUUAUCCUAAUGAACCCAUUACAAAGAUCAAUGAAGGAUAUUCCCAAGCUCUAGACAGAAAGAGUGGUGCCCACUCCGCUGACGCACUACCCAGCUACAGCAAGGAGGAUGGAGGUAUUUCUCAUUCAGCUUGAUUGUCACGGUUUGCUACAGCCGUGUUUUACAGGCUGGAAUCCUAGGACUAGAAGGAAUUCUUAGAUGAGGGAUUGGAAAACUGCAGCCUGCUGGCCAAGUCCAGCCUGCCCCCCUGUUGUUGUCAAUGCAGUUUUAUUGGAACCCAGCCACGCCCAGCCACCUAAGUGUUGUCUGUGGCUGCUUUCACACACACCAGCAGAGUUGAAUACUUGUGACAGUGACUCUAAGGCUGAUAAAGCCUAAAAUAUUUACUCUCUGGUGUUUUACAGUGAAAACUUGCCGACUUGGCUUUACAAGGCAAUUUAAAUUCAUUUGCCUGUUUUCUAGAAUGAUUGUAUUCUUGUUGCCUCAGAAAAGCCUCUGCACAGUUAGCAAUGACUCUGACGGAUGCGGAUUGUGUUGUCUCCUUAGUAUUCCACCUCUUACUGACCACAACCUCUUUGUAAAGAUAACUUAACCUAAAUCCUUCACGACACAGUGUAAAUCCAGUCCCUCUUAUAUUGUCUUUCCUUUGGUGGUCUUUGUUUUAGCUGCGCACUGAAAACUUUUCAUAUAUUUAGAGACUAUCAAAUGGCCGCGUUUUUGUCUUCUCUUCUGCCUGCCAGUGCCCCCAGGAUAAAAUCCAUUCCUUUUAACAUAUCCCACAUCUUGGAAUGUUAUCUUGUGGCUCAUGUACCAAACCUUUUUCAUUCUCUGUGGUGAUAUUAUUAUGCCAAGAACUGGACAUUGUAUUUCGAUGGUAUUUGCAUAUUACAAAGUGCAUUCAGAUGUAUAAUCAGUUUGCAUCUCAAAACAUCUUGUGAGGCCAGUGUGUUCUUACUAUGCCCAUUUUGCAGAUAAGGGACAGCGAGCCUCAGCAAGGAAAUAUGUGGCUCAUAAUCACAUAGCCAGGAAUUGAUAAGCCUCUUCUAGCUUAUUAGACUGCCUGUUGCUCUGCCAUGAGCUUGGCAGGGGAACCUGUAACAGUUCCGAUAAGCUGUAUUGCAUGUGUUUGGUGAAAUACUGGGCUUGCCUUGGGGGAAGAAUAUUCUGUCCUUCAUUGUUUAUCUGUUGCUUCGACUUCAACUCAAAGUUGUUUGUACAUGGGACCAGUGUGAAGGGGGUCCUCAGUCCACUAUUUAAAUAUUGUCACUGUUCUGCAGCCCCAGCAAACAGGGUAUGUGUUAGGAGAAGAACUGGAGGAGAGUGUGGUUAAAUUAGCAAAACCCCAUCACCAGCAGGAGAAAAGGCCUGUGCUUUGCAGGGAGGAGGAUGCGUGGGGUAUCAUCUUUCUGUACGAAGCGCAGAAUCACCUGCAUAUCUUUUCCGUGUUGCUCAUAGCCAGCCCAUCCCCAUGUUUUAUUUCGUGCUAUUUGUUUUCACUUUUAGAGGCCACAUAUGCGGCGUAUGGAGGUUCCCAGGCUAGGGGUCUAAUCAGAACUGUAGCCACCAGCCUACGCCAGAGCCACAGCAACGCGGGAUCCGAGCCGCGUCUGCAACCUACACCACAGCUCACGGCAACGCCGGAUCGUUAACCCACUGAGCAAGGGCAGGGACCGAACCCGCAACCUCAGGGUUCCUAGUCGGAUUCGUUAACCACUGCGCCACGACGGGAACUCCAUGGGUCAUUAUUCUAAAUUGGAUUGGCAGAGCUGUAUUCUGAAGGCUCCAGAGGAAAAUUUAUUUUCUUGCCUUUUUCAGCCUCUAGUGGUUGCUCACAUUCCUUGACUCCUAAGGAAUAUCCCCAUAUGGCCUCCACUCUCCUCUCCUUCUCUCUCUCUCAACCACCUACCUCUCUCUUAUAAGGGCUCUUAUGGUCAUACGGGGCGUACCCUGGUAAUUCAGGAUAAUCUCGUCUCAGAAUCCUUAACUUAAUCACCUCUGCAGAGUCACAUUUGCCAUGGAAGGUAGUGUUGCCAUGGGUUCCAGGGAUUAGGAUGUGGGCAUCUUGGGGCCAUUAUUCUCCCUACCCCAAAGUGUCAAGGAGGAUGGCACCCAAACAGCCAAAACGUUUUGCUUCAGGCCUUGAAACCAAAACCUCAGCCCCAUCCAGUUAUGGAGCCAGACAAACCUUUAUAGCCCCAAGAUGGCCCAUUUUCCAUUAUAAUGGACAAGAUAUAAGAUGUUUUAAUGUGAAUAGAGUUAGCAAUGUCUUAUCUUACUUUGGCUCAGUGGGGAAAGUCCUGGAAAACAGCCUGUUUCCAAGCUAUCUGUCUUGCCUUUGCAGGUCUGUAAAUUCCUCCCCAGAUUCCAGACUGUUUCAGUAACUCUUCAUCCCAUUGCCUUUUAGAGUGAGCUUCACCCUGCAUUUUUGGACAGACAUGACAUACCUUUUCAGCAUGUGUUUUCCUGAAGCUGUUAGGAAGGUUUCAACUUUAUGUUCUCAUACUUAAGUGUCAUCAUGAAGCUUUGAAUUUUUUUUUUUUUUUCCCAGACAACUUCAAAAGUCUGGUGGAAAAGAGAAAGUAAGAAGAAGAAAAAA
rnacentral:lncRNA from 1 species